rnacentral:rRNA from 1 species
AGCGAACGCUGGCGGCAUGCUUAACACAUGCAAGUCGCACGGGCAGCAAUGUCAGUGGCGGACGGGUGAGUAACGCGUAGGAACGUGUCCUGAGGUGGGGGACAACCCCGGGAAACUGGGGCUAAUACCGCAUAUGGGCUGAGGCCCAAAGCCGAGAGGUGCCUUUGGAGCGGCCUGCGUCCGAUUAGGUAGUUGGUGGGGUAAAGGCCUACCAAGCCUGCGAUCGGUAGCUGGUCUGAGAGGACGACCAGCCACACUGGGACUGAGACACGGCCCAGACUCCUUCGGGAGGCAGCAGUGGGGAAUAUUGGACAAUGGGCGAAAGCCUGAUCCAGCAAUGCCGCGUGGGUGAAGAAGGUCUUCGGAUCGUAAAGCCCUUUCGACGGGGACGAUGAUGACGGUACCCGUAGAAGAAGCCCCGGCUAACUUCGUG